rnacentral:rRNA from 1 species
AUUGAACGCUGGCGGCAGGCCUAACACAUGCAAGCCGAGCGGUAGAGAGAAGCUUGCUUCUCUUGAGAGCGGCGGACGGGUGAGUAAUGCCUAGGAAUCUGCCUGGUAGUGGGGGAUAACGCUCGGAAACGGACGCUAAUACCGCAUACGUCCUACGGGAGAAAGCAGGGGACCUUCGGGCCUUGCGCUAUCAGAUGAGCCUAGGUCGGAUUAGCUAGUUGGUGAGGUAAUGGCUCACCAAGGCGACGAUCCGUAACUGGUCUGAGAGGAUGAUCAGUCACACUGGAACUGAGACACGGUCCAGACUCCUACGGGAGGCAGCAGUGGGGAAUAUUGGACAAUGGGCGAAAGCCUGAUCCAGCCAUGCCGCGUGUGUGAAGAAGGUCUUCGGAUUGUAAAGCACUUUAAGUUGGGAGGAAGGGCAGUAACUUAAUACGUUACUGUUUUGACGUUACCGACAGAAUAAGCACCGGCUAACUCUGUG